UAAAUGGAUUACUGCUUUUUCUUAUGAGUCUUUGGGGGACGAAAGUGAACUUUGGACUGGGUCUAGUUGAAGGGGGAGAAAGAAGGGAGGGAUGUUUAUAAACUCCACGAAUACUCCAGUACCAGGCUGGAAGGAGUCAUGAGAUGGCAGAGCAAAGUUUGCAAACACUUCAGUUCACAGCAGUUUUAAAAGGCUGCUGAGAUGAUUGGCCAUCAAUUUGCUGUGGCAGAGCAGUGGGAGAAGUGGAUUACUGGCAGUAGAUGACUGUCUGCCAUCUGGAUAGAUUUUGCUGAUAAAAUGUAUAAUUUGGACACA